ACUAUAUCUAUUUUCGUUGUGUAUGCAUUUCAAGAAGUCUUUUUUGAAAGACAAGAAGUUGAUUUGUCUUUAAACACUUACGAAGUGAGAUGAUUCUCCCUAGUCAAAUUUUUAACUUUUAAGACUUGUUGUUGCUACUAUUUUAUUUAUUUGUGGGUUGCGACUAUUUUAGCCUUUUAGGCUGCUAUUGUUUUUGCAUUUAUGUUGUUACAUUGCAGUUAUUUAAGCCUUUUAGGCUGUGCUAUGCUACUAUUUAAGUGUGUUGAUAUUACUGUUAUAGCAUACUGCUAUUGGUAAUAGGCCUAACUGUUAUUGGCCUAUUACCUUUUCCUAUUGAUGUCACUGGUAAAGAAAUCAUUGAGAAGUUAUUAGUCAUGUAUUGCUGCUAAGUAUGUUGUUGUUACGGCUAUUAUUGAGAUUUGAUGGGAGAUUGAUCUUCAUUAAACCUUGUGUGCAGUAACUUUUUUAUUGGUAUAGUAUAACUGUAAUUGGCUCUACUAUUUGUACAACUUUUACAGCUCACACUCUAGUAUAACUUCUACCUUGUUUUGCACUAUAUUUCCUUGUUUUGAAUAUUCUAUAGACUGUAGUGCCUUAGUAGUAUUCUGUGAGUUGCUUCCUUGCUUUGUGAUUUUAGAAAGUGAGUUAUUGGCUUGCUGCUUCAUUUGAAAUUGACAAGUUCAACUUUUAGAGCUCACUUACAGGUUACUUUUUUAAGGUAACUGGCUUACUAGGUUGCUAUUUUAAGGCCCUAUAUAAGCCGGAAAUCUUGCAUUUGCAGCCACUAAUUUUUGCAGUACACUUUCUAAACUCUUGCAUUGACCUUGAUGUGUAGAAUUUAUGAAUGUGGUAGUCGUUUUGUGGUAUACUUAACCCUGUUAGGUUGGUGACUUGACCUCCAUAUAAAUAGACAUUAUGAUUAUAUGUUGCGACUUAGAUAGGUAUUAUUGCUAUUUUGUUAGUUCCACCUUAUGAUACUGAGAUGAAUUCUAAUGUUCCUUUCCACUUACCUUUCUCUACUAACUCAUUCAUUUUUCUUGCAUACAAUAAAUCUCCGAGACCUACUGACACAGGGUAUUUCUGGAUAGUGAGUUUGUCCCUCUAUCCUUCUCCACUUAAUUAGCAAAUUUUUUGUCUGGUUCAGCCUUAAGAGUUCUAAUAUUUUAUGUGCAGUCCCUUGAUCUUUUUCAGUUUUUUUAUUUUUUGGUGUUGUCAUAUUUUUUGUCCUUUAAUAAUUGUUCUAUUCUUAGUUUAUUUCCAAGUAUAUAUUAAGGACUUCUAGUCAAGGCAACGUUGCCAACUUUCACUAUUAGCAAGCUAGACAUAUCUAUCUAUUACACACAUAAAUAUACAUAAUUUAAAAGUUAAAAUUAUUACGUUGGUUAAUGAUUUCUAAAAUGUUUUAUUUAACUUUAAAUUGGUGUACAGAAUGGACAAAAUCCCUGAUUCUCAUGUUUUUAACAUGCACCAACUUUUAUGAGUUUGAUAGAGUGAGUUAAUCUUUUAUAUAAGUAGUGGUUUCACUUAUUGUACUCCUCACUUCAUUUAUGGAUAUACAACUAGAAAUUGGCGAGACUAUAUGUUCUUACUCUUUUCAUUUCUCCUAGAUUAGGGAUCUAACAUAACUUGAAAAAUAAGCAUAUCAUUUUAUUAAACAUGGGUUCUAAUGAUGACAAUAUUUGUUGGACACUUCUAUAUUAUAUAGCUUUACUAGAUGUACCUUCUUCAGCCUCAUGGAGUACUUGUGUUUGAGUUGAGCUGGAAAAUACCUAACUUUUUCACUUCCCUUUCUGAAUUUAUGAGAUAUGUCCUGAGAUGUUUUCUUUCAUUUCCAGGUUCUUUCACAUUUGAAAAAUUCUUAUCUUUGUAAUUCUGAGAGAGUCAGAAAAGUAACAUUACUAGAAUCUAUUAGUCUUAUGGGGAAAAAACUGAAGGAGGCAAAGAUCAAAGAUACAAGUAUGCUUUGGGUGUCUUGUUUUCUUAUUUAUGUGCAAUUACCACUACUGGAAAUAGGGGUUAUAACAAUGAUUCUUUUGCAAUAUUUAUACAGAUGUCACUAUAUAAAACCUACGAUGAUGGUUAUAACCUUCGAAUAAUAUUAUAGUUUCUCUUGGGACAAUUAUUUAAAUAAACCAUCGCAUAGCAGAUGAAGGUCUUAUUAAUCUUAGAAAAUUAGUAGAUAAAUUUAGUUAAGGAAUUUUGUUUUUGGAUAUCUGGUUCUUGGACAUUUGCUAGAACACUUUCCAAUGCUAAUGUUAACAUCUUCGGAAAGUUGUUUUCUUACAAAAUUCUUGUUGUAGAUAAUGUUGAUAUGGUUUCUAACAUGUACAGUAACAUGUCUCUAACUUUUCAACUAAAAUUAAUUUAAUUAAAACUUCUUUGUUUUUCUAUUAGGAGUCUACUAGUAAAUAGUUUUUGUGUUUGUUGUUGUUUUUUCUACUGUUGCUAAAAUAUGAAAAAAAUGUAUGACUAUUAUUUUUUAAUUAAAUAUAUGAUGUACAAAUUAUUUCACAUACCUAAUUGUACUGUUUGUACAUUGAUACUAACUAUACUCAUUAUUUUCUUACUUCAAUAUUUUAAAUAUGUAACAUAGGGUAUUUAAUGGAUGUUGGAGAUAUAAGUUGGAUGUAUGUCCCAAAAUCCAUCAUUCAGUUCAAAAAUGGAGUCAAGGAUUUUCACAAUAAGGAAUUUGAACGAGUUUCUCAAGGAAAUAAAAUAUUAUGCCCUUAAAGAUUGUGCUUUAAUCAUUGUUGGCAUUAUCGAGAUGUGGUGGAGGAUAACUUUUAUGGUCAUGGAUUUGCUCUAGAUUACACUCAAUUGUUUUUCCAUGGAGAAGGGGUUUCGUCAACAAUAAUUCAACAUUCAAGCAGUGUUGAUAAAACUUUUGACCAACAUGAUGAUAUUGAGAGACUACUUCAUGAUACUUUUUGAUAUAUAGAAACUAACCAGAGAAAUGAUGGGCACAAAGGAGUAAGACAUGGACCAUCUAAAGAUAUUAAGAAAUUUUUAAUAUCAGUGGACAAAGGAAAAUAAGAUUUAUAUCUUAGGUUUAAGAGGUUUUCUAAGUUGAGUUUCACCAUCUGUUUAUACUUGUUCAAAUUAAUUCAACGGCUGAGUAAUGUAGCUUUCUAUGACUUUCUAGACUUUGUCUAUUUCAUGUUUAAAUUGACAUCAAUUAUCAAUUCUUAAUUUAGAAUUUCUUGAGUGUGCUUUAUAAUAUGACUUUUUAGGCUGAAAUAAAGGAAAUUGAAAUGUAAAAGGUGCAAUUGGUCCGUCUGUUGAUGCAUUUUCAGUAGUCAUGGGUCCUGAACAUCUGUGAUGUUUAAUACUAUAUAGAAGAGCGGUUACAAAGAAUUCGUUGAAAAUAAUAAAUAGCACUUUUUAACAAACUUAAAAUGCCACUAAAGUUGUCGUGCAACAUAUGCAAGAAAAGAUGUCAAAAUGAAGUAUCAAAUCGAGGAACAAAAAAGAACCAUUUGUCAAGAAGUUAUUAUAGAUAUAAUUCAUCAACUUUAGAAUGCAGGAUUAAUUGAUCAUAAGAUACUAGCAGCAUUCCAUUGCUUUUCCAAGUGAAUCAACCUCUACACCAGAAGCGAUAGGGAGAAACAAUAAAAAUAGUCAAGGUUAGUGUUUAACAUGCUGGAUUGUACUCCAAUUCAUUUGGUGGCUGAUAUUGUUGUUGUUGUUGUUAGAAUUUAUUUGAUGGUUAUUGGUGGCUUGUAACUGUGUAUUAUAUAUGAUGGUAUUGUGGUUUAUUGUCUGAAACUCUUGAUGGUUAUUGGUAGCUGGUAAAUGUGUAUUAUAUAUCAUGGUAUUGUUGUCUAUUGUUUGAAAUUCUGGAUGGUUAUUAGUGGCUGGUAACUAGAAUUAUACUGCAGAUAACAAUGCUUGAAUUCUAAAUUUGUUGAGUUCUUGAUUAUCCAGCAAAAAUACUUCUGGUUGUUUUGAUUGGUUUAUUGGCAAUUAUAUUUUCUUUUGUGUGGAGUAAAAUUAGGUAGAUUUAUCAAAGACACUUCAAAACUCUCACAAGUGUCAUGUAUCGACCUAUUGAAUGCUUCUUCCACUCAGUAGUUGUACCGGGUCACCCAAAGUUUCUUUUAAUUUUAAUAUCUUAAAUAUGCAUGUGAAAAUUUGUAAGUACAGGAAAAAUACAUUUUUUUAAAACAUGACUAAACAAGAAGGUAAGGGAAACAAAUUAAAAUAGAGAAAGGAACAAACCAGGGUUGCAAAGUGAAAGAGUUUUUCUGUAUGAAAAUUUGGUUUGCAAUGAAUUUGAGACAAGGUCUUUUCAUCUAUGAUCAAUUACAUUUGUCCAUUUUUGUAAGUAUCAGUUUACUUGCAUAACAUCAUUAAAUGACUAAUGUACUAAUUCUUAAGUUGUUGAUGUUGGAAUUUAGUAAGUUCCAUAUGUGAGUGAUAGCAGUACCAACAUUCAACUAAAAGCUUAUGGAGUGAUCUUGUUUAUUCUCAUUUUACUUUUUAACAUUUUCAAUUUGUAGCAAUGACUUUAUAAUGCUGGCUGAUAUGUUCUCAAAUUGCUUGGAUGAUUUAUUUCUUGUUCUCAAGGUAAUCAUGUAACUUACCAUCCCUCAGCUAUCUUACCAACUCUCUACUGGAAAGUUUUCUAGAACUUUUUUCUCCUUAUGUGCAUUCAAGCGGACUGAUCAAAAAUUACACCAAGUACAAAAACUAAUAAUUAACCUUAUUAUCUCACUUUCUCACAGUAGGAUCAAGACAAUUAACCUAUUUAUUCCUUUUUUCCUAAAAGAAUGGGCUUGGAGACUAUACCACUCUAAGGAAUCAAGAAACAAAGUAAGUCUAUAGCAGGGGAAAUCAUUCCACUUUCCAUAACCAAAAGGUGAUCAUGACAUAGAAGAUGGCUGAAAAAAAAAUUGAUCAACUAGACCUGACCUAAGAGAUCGAUCACAUUGGCUUCAUGUUGCACUAGCUGUUGGAAAAUAUGAUAUAGUAGUUUCAAACAUCUUUUAUUUUUUAACAUUCAAAACUUGUGUAUGUUUUUGUUUUUUUGAAUAGUCAAAAAAUAUUUGGUUUC